GGUUGCGAAAAAGUAUGGCCAAGUCAACGAGAUCAUCUCUGUUGUAUCCUCAGCGACUUUGAAAUUUUCAACUUUCACCUUGAUGCAGUUAAGGACAAAAUUGAUAGUCAAUUCAAUUCAAUUUUGAACUAAUUUUAAUUAUUCAUAUCUAUGGAGCGGGUUUGUGAUGGAACUAGUUCACAAGUGGUGUUAUCAAUAUGAAGACACGAAAUCUUUAGAACUAGAAAUGAGUGAUUUGUCAUGGUUGAAGCACUAUCUGGGUCAUUAAUGGACGAUUGUUGUUCAUCUGGACUCAUUGUUA